GUAAUAGUUUUGUAAGGGGGCGUGUUCGCCACGCCUCCGGAAACGCCCAUUUUACUUCGCAGUACUGAAACCCCUGGACUUUAGUAAACUUUCCUCUUAUCAGUUUAUAAUAUCUUACUGAAGUGAUAUCUGCAUUAAUACGGUUCUGUUCACAUCACCAUCAUCACCAUCAGCGGUCAUGUCCUCCGGUUCUCUCCUGCUGGUUCUGCUGGUUCUGGGCUGCCUUCAUUCCUUCACAGCGGCCCAGCAUCAAAAUACACCAGAACGAUGCUGUUUCAAAUUCCAGACGAAUAAAAUCCCUCUAUGAGUGAUUAAGGGGUAUAAAGAAACACUGGCUGAUUGUACAAAAGCUGGAAUCGUUUUUAUCCUAAACAAUGGUCGUCGUGUGUGUGCAGACCCUGGACUUCUGUGGGUGAAGAAUCACAUGAAGAAAAUUGACCUGCGCUUUUUUGCAGAGCCGAUAAAUCCUCUCUCUGUUAAUAACAAGUUUUUUUUUAAACAAAAUGUACUUUUUUACAUAUCAUUUGCUGUAUUUGGACAGGAGGAAUAAAUCUUUUUUUUAAAAAUAAUUAUUAUGAAUCAUAUUUAAUCAUAAACUCUUGACUGAAGCAGUCUAGCAUUAUUUAUCUCAGUUAAUCUAUGGCUUGUGGUCAUGAAGUCGUUUUAUCUUAUAUACAUUAAAGGACUUUUAAUUACA